UACGUAGGGACCAAGCGUUGUUCGGAUUUACUGGGCGUAAAGGGCGCGUAGGCGGCCUAACAAGUCACUUGUGAAAUCUCCGGGCUUAACUCGGAACGGCCAAGUGAAACUGUCAAGCUAGAGUGCAGAAGGGGCAAUUGGAAUUCUUGGUGUAGCGGUGAAAUGCGUAGAUAUCAAGAGGAACACCUGAGGUGAAGACGGGUUGCUGGGCUGACACUGACGCUGAGGCGCGAAAGCCAGGGGAGCAAACGGG
rnacentral:rRNA from 1 species